UUAAGCGACUAAGCGUACACGGUGGAUGCCCUGGCAGUCAGAGGCGAUGAAGGACGUGCUAAUCUGCGAUAAGCGUCGGUAAGGUGAUAUGAACCGUUAUAACCGGCGAUUUCCGAAUGGGGAAACCCAGUGUGAUUCGUCACACUAUCAUUAACUGAAUCCAUAGGUUAAUGAGGCGAACCGGGGGAACUGAAACAUCUAAGUACCCCGAGGAAAAGAAAUCAACCGAGAUUCCCCCAGUAGCGGCGAGCGAACGGGGAGCAGCCCAGAGCCUGAAUCAGUGUGUGUGUUAGUGGAAGCGUCUGGAAAGGCGCGCGAUACAGGGUGACAGCCCCGUACACAAAAAUGCACAUGCUGUGAGCUCGAUGAGUAGGGCGGGACACGUGGUAUCCUGUCUGAAUAUGGGGGGACCAUCCUCCAAGGCUAAAUACUCCUGACUGACCGAUAGUGAACCAGUACCGUGAGGGAAAGGCGAAAAGAACCCCGGCGAGGGGAGUGAAAAAGAACCUGAAACCGUGUACGUACAAGCAGUGGGAGCACGCUUAGGCGUGUGACUGCGUACCUUUUGUAUAAUGGGUCAGCGACUUAUAUUCUGUAGCAAGGUUAACCGAAUAGGGGAGCCGAAGGGAAACCGAGUCUUAACUGGGCGUUAAGUUGCAGGGUAUAGACCCGAAACCCGGUGAUCUAGCCAUGGGCAGGUUGAAGGUUGGGUAACACUAACUGGAGGACCGAACCGACUAAUGUUGAAAAAUUAGCGGAUGACUUGUGGCUGGGGGUGAAAGGCCAAUCAAACCGGGAGAUAGCUGGUUCUCCCCGAAAGCUAUUUAGGUAGCGCCUCGUGAAUUCAUCUCCGGGGGUAGAGCACUGUUUCGGCAAGGGGGUCAUCCCGACUUACCAACCCGAUGCAAACUGCGAAUACCGGAGAAUGUUAUCACGGGAGACACACGGCGGGUGCUAACGUCCGUCGUGAAGAGGGAAACAACCCAGACCGCCAGCUAAGGUCCCAAAGUCAUGGUUAAGUGGGAAACGAUGUGGGAAGGCCCAGACAGCCAGGAUGUUGGCUUAGAAGCAGCCAUCAUUUAAAGAAAGCGUAAUAGCUCACUGGUCGAGUCGGCCUGCGCGGAAGAUGUAACGGGGCUAAACCAUGCACCGAAGCUGCGGCAGCGACACUGUGUGUUGUUGGGUAGGGGAGCGUUCUGUAAGCCUGCGAAGGUGUGCUGUGAGGCAUGCUGGAGGUAUCAGAAGUGCGAAUGCUGACAUAAGUAACGAUAAAGCGGGUGAAAAGCCCGCUCGCCGGAAGACCAAGGGUUCCUGUCCAACGUUAAUCGGGGCAGGGUGAGUCGACCCCUAAGGCGAGGCCGAAAGGCGUAGUCGAUGGGAAACAGGUUAAUAUUCCUGUACUUGGUGUUACUGCGAAGGGGGGACGGAGAAGGCUAUGUUGGCCGGGCGACGGUUGUCCCGGUUUAAGCGUGUAGGCUGGUUUUCCAGGCAAAUCCGGAAAAUCAAGGCUGAGGCGUGAUGACGAGGCACUACGGUGCUGAAGCAACAAAUGCCCUGCUUCCAGGAAAAGCCUCUAAGCAUCAGGUAACAUCAAAUCGUACCCCAAACCGACACAGGUGGUCUGGUAGAGAAUACCAAGGCGCUUGAGAGAACUCGGGUGAAGGAACUAGGCAAAAUGGUGCCGUAACUUCGGGAGAAGGCACGCUGAUAUGUAGGUGAAGUCCCUCGCGGAUGGAGCUGAAAUCAGUCGAAGAUACCAGCUGGCUGCAACUGUUUAUUAAAAACACAGCACUGUGCAAACACGAAAGUGGACGUAUACGGUGUGACGCCUGCCCGGUGCCGGAAGGUUAAUUGAUGGGGUCAGCGCAAGCGAAGCUCUUGAUCGAAGCCCCGGUAAACGGCGGCCGUAACUAUAACGGUCCUAAGGUAGCGAAAUUCCUUGUCGGGUAAGUUCCGACCUGCACGAAUGGCGUAAUGAUGGCCAGGCUGUCUCCACCCGAGACUCAGUGAAAUUGAACUCGCUGUGAAGAUGCAGUGUACCCGCGGCAAGACGGAAAGACCCCGUGAACCUUUACUAUAGCUUGACACUGAACAUUGAGCCUUGAUGUGUAGGAUAGGUGGGAGGCUUUGAAGUGUGGACGCCAGUCUGCAUGGAGCCGACCUUGAAAUACCACCCUUUAAUGUUUGAUGUUCUAACGUUGACCCGUGAUCCGGGUUGCGGACAGUGUCUGGUGGGUAGUUUGACUGGGGCGGUCUCCUCCUAAAGAGUAACGGAGGAGCACGAAGGUUGGCUAAUCCUGGUCGGACAUCAGGAGGUUAGUGCAAUGGCAUAAGCCAGCUUGACUGCGAGCGUGACGGCGCGAGCAGGUGCGAAAGCAGGUCAUAGUGAUCCGGUGGUUCUGAAUGGAAGGGCCAUCGCUCAACGGAUAAAAGGUACUCCGGGGAUAACAGGCUGAUACCGCCCAAGAGUUCAUAUCGACGGCGGUGUUUGGCACCUCGAUGUCGGCUCAUCACAUCCUGGGGCUGAAGUAGGUCCCAAGGGUAUGGCUGUUCGCCAUUUAAAGUGGUACGCGAGCUGGGUUUAGAACGUCGUGAGACAGUUCGGUCCCUAUCUGCCGUGGGCGCUGGAGAACUGAGGGGGGCUGCUCCUAGUACGAGAGGACCGGAGUGGACGCAUCACUGGUGUUCGGGUUGUCAUGCCAAUGGCACUGCCCGGUAGCUAAAUGCGGAAGAGAUAAGUGCUGAAAGCAUCUAAGCACGAAACUUGCCCCGAGAUGAGUUCUCCCUGACUCCUUGAGAGUCCUGAAGGAACGUUGAAGACGACGACGUUGAUAGGCCGGGUGUGUAAGCGCAGCGAUGCGUUGAGCUAACCGGUACUAAUGAACCGUGAGGCUUAACCUU
rnacentral:rRNA from 1 species